CGGAGGUGCAAGCGUUAUCCGGAUUCACUGGGUUUAAGGGUGCGUAGGUGGGUCUGUAAGUCAGUGGUGAAAUCUCCAAGCUUAACUUGGAACUGCCGUUGAUACUAUAGAUCUUGAAUGUUGUGGAGGUGAGCGGAAUAUGUCAUGUAGCGGUGAAAUGCUUAGAUAUGACAUAGAACACCAAUUGCGAAGGCAGCUCACUACACAAAUAUUGACACUGAGGCACGAAAGCGUGGGAUCAAACAGGAUU
rnacentral:rRNA from 1 species